CCCGCAUAGUAUCUGAUAGUAUCUCUCUGCCAUAUAUAUUAUUAUGAGAUCCUUAACAGCAAAACUUCCCCACAUAGCAUCUUUCUGAUCAUAGUGCAUAGUAUUUUCUAAACUAUCUUUUUCUAAUUUCUGUGACCAAAUGAAAAGGUAAGUUUGCAUAUCACUGUUACAACCAUAAAGAUUGCAAUUAUCUUCACAAUAUCAAAAGUCACAGAAUCAGCAAAAUUUGGUCAAACAUUCAUAGCACAGUGUCUUUCUACUUACAUGUUAUUCCAAAGGCCUUUAAAGACACCAAACUUCCCUAUUUUUCCUAAUUUCUGUGACCAAAUUAAAAGCAAGUUUGCAUAUGACUGUUUUGAUGAAAAAUUUAACUCUGUUUCCUUUACCCAGACUCGAUUAACAUAUUGAUAAUAAUAAUCAUUAAAGCAAGCUGCUUCUAUCGAUCAAAGGCUCUCAGCUGCUUCUAUCGAUCAAAGGCUCUCAGGUUAAUAAACAGAGGUUGCGUCAAUGCAAAGAGAUGGCACAAUCCAGAAUCCUCAUCAUCCAUGUAGUAUGCAUAAAAUUUAGCACUAUUCCCGGUCAAUCAUGAUAAUUAUUAACCGAAAUUAAAUUUUCAAUAACUGCUGCAGAACAAAUAAUGAUCUAAUUUUUACCAUAGUGCAUAAGUAUAAUGACUUACUGCCAGAAUUAUUAUAUUAAGAAAAUAAUAUCCAAAGGCAAAUUUCAUACCAAGGCCAGUGCAAAAUCCCGAAUAAGC
rnacentral:lncRNA from 1 species